CUUUUUUUUUUUUUUUUUUUUUUUUUUUUUUAAACACUAUAUCUGAGAGUUCCUAGACUGAAUACUCCAAGAGACCUGGGCAUAUGGGAGCUGUAAGACUUCUUAUAAUGACCUAGCCUCAAAGUCCCCAAAUGUCACAUCUCUGCAUUCAGUUGUUUAAGCAUUCAGUUGUGAAAGGGGGAAGGGAAUCAGACUCUACCUUUCAGUUGGAGAAGUAGCAAAAAUUUUGCCACCAUGUAUAGUCCAUUGUAUCAGGUUAAUAAAAAUUCUGAACUCAAUCUCCUCCUGCCCCAUCAUUUCCUAUUGGUGCUCCCCCCUUAAACAAGGCAACCACUAACCAGAGGGCAAAGGAGCUUGUUAAUACAGUCUUUAUAGGUCAGCUUCCCAGGAACAGAGUAGGACCUGGAGGGACAAACACUCUCCUAAUCCUCAUUGCUUAUUUUAGGGCUUUCAAGUUGUGUGCCAGAGUUAUGCAGGGGUAUGUUCUUGAGAACAUAGGAAUGACCAUGAGGACACAGAGAAUGGGGUUAAGAGGGAAUGGGCAGUUAGAGGUGCUUGUUUAUUUAAUCAAGGCAGCCAGUUGAAGCAAACAAGUCAAGACAAAAUUUCACCCCAUCUUUUGUAGGUAAGUACAGUGUUAAAUUACAAUUGACCCUCUGUUAGGAGAAUGCAUGGAUCUCCACAGGGAAAAAUUAAGCACUGAGGACAAAGCCUCUAGUCCAUGAGCACUGUAAUCACACAUCGCGAUGAGAACCCGUAUUUUAAAAUCUGUAGAAUUUAUCACACAUUAUUUCACAUUUCACUGCUCUGCUUACUGCUUAUUGGUUUGUGGUUACUUGCAUACAACAGUAAAGUUUCAGAAAAAGUUUAGUUACAGAAAGACAAUUAUUUAAUGCAGGAAGGAUAACCCAUUGCAUUGGAGGAUUGGAAGACAUCUUUUAAAGUUCUUAUAUUAUAAAUUUAAUUAUGAGUUUCUAUGCAGUGAGUAAGGUCUUAAAUUCUUGCCAAGAUUUCAAAAGGGCUUUGUGAAAGUAUGUCGGCUAAAUCACGAUGGGUAUAUCACUGCUAAUGGUGCCCGUCACACGUUGUGAAACAUAGACUCCAGAAUUAAUUCUGCCCCCAAAUUAGGUCAUUGCAAAAUGCCUCUUAAAACUGCCAAUUUUUAAUUUGCAGGACAAUGAGAUGGAGAUGAGAAGAAAGCAAAAGGAAGACUCCAAUUCCUUCUUGUAAAGCACAGUGGGGAUCGGACAAAACAGAAUAGGAAGGCCGAGCCCUCUGAAACGGAUGCUUUUUUGUGUGUUAAUCCCACUUAAAUAUAGGUGAUGAAUUAAUUUAAACGUGGGCUAACCGGCCUGUUCUGCACUGCAUCCGGGUAGUGCCUUGCUCUCAAGUUAACCUGAUUGCGCAGAGGUGCCCUUGUUUCCUGACUUCAUCCCCAAACCAUCACGAUUAUUUCAGUUUACCUUCUCCUUUUCCCAGAACAUCCUGUUUGCAGUCAUGCAAAGGGAGUGUUUGGUGCAAAGACGCCUAAUUCAUAAUUAGCAUCG
rnacentral:lncRNA from 1 species